AUGGAGACAGACACACUCCUGCUAUGGGUGCUGCUGCUCUGGGUUCCAGGCUCCACUGGUGACAUUGUGCUGACCCAAUCUCCAGCUUCCUUGGAUGUGUCUCUAGGGCAGAGGGCCACCAUCUCCUGCAUGGCCAGCAAAAGUCUCAGUUUUCUUCUUUCUACAAGUGCUCUGCACUGGUACGAAGAGAAACCAGGACAGCCACCCAAACUACUCAUCUAUAGUGCAUCCAACCUAGAAUCUGGGGUCCCUUCCAGGUUCAGUGGCAGUGGGUCUGAGAAAGACUUUACCCUCAACAUUGAUCCUGUGGAGGCUAAUGAUACUGCAACCUAUUACUGUCAGUGAAAGUAUAACAAAGUAAAAACAAAAUUCUAGGCCUUUAGGCCCAGGCUUGGGAAUGUGACCUCUGUGACUCAUUGCUCCAAGGUAUGCUAAUCAUAAAACAGAUAGUGACAUUCCUCCACCCACCCCCUUCCUGGGUUCAAAGAGUGCUCAUUCAAAGAAAGUCACCCUGACCAUUGCGGGAACCUGCUAUGUAAAUGUGCUAUUGUUAGGGGCUCUUAGAAACUGUCUUGAGAAAUAACCCUCACAAUUACCAGGUAUUCCUCACGACUCUUGUAACUUUGCACUUCCUUGGGACUCUUAACAGGUAUUUUUGGUAUUUUCCAACAACGCCCUUCCCACCUCCUUGAGUUGUGGUUUCUUCCUUUAAAUACCCCCUUAUCCAGCUACUCGGGGCGCCAAGGUCCUCUACCCCUGUGUGGUGUAUGACCAUGGGCCCGAGAGCGCUCUUGAAUAAAAAUCCUCUUGCAGUUUGCAGCAAGACCGUUUCUUGUGGGUGAUUUUGGGGUGUCGCCUUUCCUGAGUCAGAACGUGGGGGAGUCCUCACGUUGUGGGUCUUUCAUCAGCAAGCUAGGGAGGUUCCUCC